ACUCGUUCCAUGGUUUACCACCGAGGCGAACAGCCCUGUCCCCGAGCCCGAGCUCCUCUUGCCGUCGCCCUUUCUCUUCCUCUCCUCCUCCUCCAUCUCCACCCCAUCGAGCUGCGCCCUUUCUCUUUUUCUCCUCCUCCUCUGUCUCCAUCCUUGAGCUGCACCCUUUCUCUUUUUCUCCUCCUCCUCCGUCUCUCCCCCUUCUCUCUUCUGAGUUUCCCCCUUGCCCACUGCUCUAGCCCUUUCUCCCUAUUCUCUCUAUUGUUCUCUAUGCCCAUUUCAUUGCUGCAAGGAGCUCCAUUUCCGUGAAUAGCUUUUUCCAGGAUCUGUUUGACGAAAUGCUUGAAAGGGAUGUCGCACAUGGAGCCCAAGGAAGAAGAAGAGGAAGAGGAAGAGGAGACGUUGCUGCCUACCUGCCCCUCAAUCGGCCCCCUCUUGGCGAUGGAGCCAAAUGGAUAGGCUCUGCUACGUGGACUCGCUUCUCAUUGUACAACAACCCUACUUUCAAACUCAUUAAUAAGUGACUUCCAAUAUGAAAGAGAACUAAUUCUUUUGAUAGCUGACAUAAAUGAGGACAUUUAUCAACUUAAUGCCAUCGUCUUUUGCUUUGUAAGCCAUAGUGUUUUCUUCCUAUGAAAGUUAGGAGAACGGACUUUAUCAUAGUUGGUGCUAUAUUACACAAGUUUAUCUUGAUUUUUAUAA